AAACCCCGAAAACCAAAAAAAGGAGGGAGAAAAGAAAAAGAUCAAGGGAAAGGGGAAAAGAAAGACGAUGAAGAUGACCUGGAAGAAGCAGAGCAAGAGCACGAGCAAGAAGCGACCUUUAUCCCAGUUACAUAAUCUUCCAUUUGAGCAACAAGAAGAUAGUACCAAUACUGAUAAUUUGCAGGAGGAGGAAAUUGGUGGGAACGACGUCGUUGAGAAGAAUACUUCAGUUUCUGAUGAGAAUGUUGAUGGGAAGAAGCUAGCUCAAGUCUAUGAGCAACAAGGGAACAAACUUGCUGAGGAUGGGAAGUUCAGUGAGGCACUAGGCAAGUGGGAGGCUGCUCUUACUUUGAUGCCAGAACGAGCAGUUUUGCAUGAGCAAAAAGCUCAAGUUUUACUUGAACUGGGAGAAGCAUGGGGUGCUCUAAAAGCUGUCACUCGAGCCACAGAAUUAGAACCAACAUGGGCUGAGGCAUGGAUUACCCUUGGUAGAGCGCAAUUGAACUUCGGGGAGCCUGAUAGUGCCAUUGAAAGCUUUGAUCGGGCAUUAGCUAUUAAGAUAGUUUGAGGCCGCUGAAACAAUUAGUUGUUGAGAAGCAACUCUUUUCCAAAAAUUUGUAACGACCAAAGGUUAUUUUGAAGAAGCAUUUCAGCCAGAUUCUGUGGACGCACAUGAUGACAGGAAGACUGCAUUGCAUCUUAUAAAGAGGCGAAAACAGCUUCAAUCUACAGGCUUGAGUGCCAACGCAAAUCGUUUUGCCGUUGGGUAUACUGGUCAGUAAUGAAGCUAAUGGAGAAUUUUGAAAGCAGCUUUGCUGUCUUGUCAAAGGAAUUUUGGUAGUUUUUUCGGUUAAAGUAUGAAAGUACCCUAUGGUGUUGACUUCUGUGGCUGUUAGCGUCAAGCUUAUAAUGUAUCAAAUGCUAGAGUUCCUAUCCACCAGUUGUAAAUAAGAAAGAGGCAGAGAGGGAGGAUGUUGGGAGAAAUAUGCUAGUAAGUGCACAAAUAAUUAGAUCAUGCUGAAUUGCUGAUGCCUCAUAGCUUUUGUAAGGUUACAGGUUUUUCUGGGUUCCUGGCUAAGAAUUGAAGAUCCAUGAAAUUUGAUUUCUGUUCAACAAUCUAUCCUGUGAUCCAGUUAUGCCUGGCACAGUAAAUGAUUUUUGAGUUAA